rnacentral:pre_miRNA from 1 species
GCAUAUUUCACGUUUGUGCGUGAAUCUAACAACUCUUUUCAUCUGAAAAACUGUUAUUGUUUGCUAGAUUCACGCACAAGCUCGUAAUAUGGCU